CCAAUCGAACUCGGAGAUAGCUGGUUCUCCCCGAAAUAGCUUUAGGGCUAGCGUUGUGUUAGUUUACCGGAGGUAGAGCACUGAAUUGGCUAAGGGGCGAUGAGCUUACUGAACCUUAUCAAACUUCGAAUGCCGGAUAAAUGGUGCACAGCAGUCAGACAGUGUGAGAUAAGUUUCAUUGUCAAGAGGGAAACAGCCCAGACCCACAGCUAAGGUCCCAAAUGAACGCUAAGUGGAAAACGAUGUGGGGUUGCAAAAACAACCAGGAUGUUGGCUUAGAGGCAGCCACUCAUUAAAAGAGUGCGUAAUAGCUCACUGGUCGAGUGACCCUGCGCGGAAAAUAUAACGGGGCUAAGCGUCCAACCGAAGCUUGGGAUGUCUAAGGACAUGGUAGGGGAGCGUCGUGUAUAGGGAGAAGCAUGAGCGAGAGCACAUGUGGACAGUACACGAGUGAGAAUGCCGGAAUGAGUAGCGAGAAUUAUGUGGGAAUCAUAAUGGCCGAAAAUCUAAGGUUUCUUGGGGAAGGUUCGUCCGCCCAAGGUAAGCCGGGAGCUAAGGCGAGGCCGAAAGGCGUAGUCGAUGCACAUACGGUUGAAAUUCCGUAGCCGCCGAAAUUGUUAAGCACAGGGACACAUAGAGAUAUCCGAACCCGGGCGUUGGUUGACCCGGGCGCAAGGGACCGAACAUCAGUAGGGAAGUCGGAGAUGCUCUGUGGCGAGAAAAGCUGUGUGUAUUGAUUAGGCGCCCGUACCGCAAACCGACACAGGUAGAUGAGGAGAGAAUCCUAAGGCCAACGGGAGAAGGGUUGUUAAGGAACUCGGCAAAUUGACCCCGUAACUUCGGGAUAAGGGGAGCCUCCUACGGGAGGCCGCAGUGAAUAGGCCCAAGCAACUGUUUACCAAAAACACAGGUCUCUGCUAAAUCGAAAGAUGACGUAUAGGGGCUGACGCCUGCCCGGUGCCGGAAGGUUAAGAGGAGAGCUUAGCGCAAGCGAAGGUUCGAAUUGAAGCCCCGGUAAACGGCGGCCGUAACUAUAACGGUCCUAAGGUAGCGAAAUUCCUUGUCAGGUAAGUUCUGACCCGCACGAAUGGCGUAAUGAUUUGGGCACUGUCUCAACAGCCCGCCCGGCGAAAUUGUAGUACUGGUGAAGAUGCCAGUUACCCGCAACUAGACGGAAAGACCCCAUGGAGCUUUACUGUAGCCUAAUACUGAAGAUCGGUAAUGCAUGUACAGGAUAGGUGGGAGCCAGCGAAACCCGGGCGUCAGCUCGGAUGGAGGCAACCUUGGAAUACCACCCUUGUAUUGCUGGUUUUCUAACCUGCGGCCAUGAAUCUGGUCGGGGGACACUGUUAGGUGGGCAGUUUGACUGGGGCGGUCGCCUCCAAAAGCGUAACGGAGGCGCUCAAAGGUUGGCUCAGCACGGACGGAAAUCGUGCAUAGAGUGCAAACGCAUAAGCCAACUUGACUGCGAGACCGACGGGUCGAGCAGGUACGAAAGUAGGAGUUAGUGAUCCGGUGGUAUGUGAGUGGAAAUGCCAUCGCUCAACGGAUAAAAGCUACCCUGGGGAUAACAGGCUGAUCUCCCCCAAGCGUCCACAGCGACGGGGAGGUUUGGCACCUCGAUGUCGGCUCGUCACAUCCUGGGGCUGUAUUCGGUCCCAAGGGUUCGGCUGUUCGCCGAUUAAAGUGGCACGCGAGCUGGGUUCAGAACGUCGUGAGACAGUUCGGUCCCUAUCUGUUGCGGGCGCAGGAGAUUUGAAGGGAGCUGUCCUUAGUACGAGAGGACCGGGAUGGACAGACCUCUGGUGCACCAGUUGUCGUGCCAACGGCACAGCUGGGUAGCUACGUCUGGACGAGAUAAACGCUGAAAGCAUCUAAGUGUGAAACUCCCCCUAAGAUAAGAUCUCCCAUCCAUUAGGAGUAAGGGACGACAAAGACUAUGUCGUUGAUAGGUCGGAAGUGUAAGUGCAGUAAUGCAUUGAGCUGACCGAUACUAAUAACCCGAGGGCUUGACCU
rnacentral:rRNA from 1 species